rnacentral:rRNA from 1 species
UGGGGAAUAUUGCACAAUGGGGGGAACCCUGAUGCAGCGACGCCGCGUGAGCGAGGAAGUAUUUCGGUAUGUAAAGCUCUAUCAGCAGGGAAGAAGAAAGUGACGGUACCUGACUAAGAAGCCCCGGCUAACUACGUGCCAGCAGCCGCGGUAAUACGUAGGGGGCAAGCGUUAUCCGGAUUUACUGGGUGUAAAGGGAGCGCAGGCGGCCGCUCAAGUCUGAUGUGAAAACCCGGGGCUCAACCGCGGGAGUGCAUUGGAAACUGAGGGGCUGGAGUGUCGGAGAGGCAGGCGGAAUUCCUAGUGUAGCGGUGAAAUGCGUAGAUAUUAGGAGGAACACCAGUGGCGAAGGCGGCCUGCUGGACGAUGACUGACGCUGAGGCUCGAAAGCGUGGGGAGCAAACAGG